AACGAACGCUGGCGGCGUGCCUAACACAUGCAAGUCGUGCGAGAAAGUUCCUUCGGGAGCGAGUAAAGCGGCGCACGGGUGAGUAACACGUAGGUAACCUGCCCCCCAGUCUGGAACAACUAGAGGAAACUCUAGCUAAUGCCGGAUGAGACCACGAUCCCUUCGGGGGUUGCGGCCAAAGAUGGCCUCUACUUGUAAGCUAUCGCUGAGGGAUGGGCCUGCGGGCCAUUAGCUUGUUGGUGAGGUAACGGCUCACCAAGGCUGUGAUGGCUAGCUGGUCUGAGAGGAUGACCAGCCACACUGGGACUGAGACACGGCCCAGACUCCUACGGGAGGCAGCAGUGGGGAAUAUUGCGCAAUGGGCGAAAGCCUGACGCAGCGACGCCGCGUGGGUGAUGAAGGCCUUGGUCGUAAGGACCUCGUCGCAGGGAAGGAA
rnacentral:rRNA from 1 species